rnacentral:piRNA from 1 species
UGACUUCCUCAACCUCAAAUGUUAAACAGG